UGCCUCCCGGCCUGAGCGGGUGUGACUGGAGCAACAUCCCUGCGGGAGGGGAGGCAGGAGGAAGCGGGGCUGUAGAGAAAUAAAACCACUGCAGAGCUGACUGCGAGAGGAGGAGACAGGCUGGCUGGAAAGGACAGCUUUGCUGAGCCCAGGAGAAAAUGGUUUGAGUAAUUAUCAAUGCCUGCCGCUAUGUGGCCAGGAAGAUGGGGACCCUGUGCAGCCGGGAGCACCAGGAGCCCCCAACCCGCCCAGCGCAGGCAGCCCCUCGCAGCCACCACCAAAAUGUAAAGGCAGAGGUACUGGCAGCUCCCCAAGCCAGAGCCUCCCUUCCCAGGAACAAUGACACUAUCCAAGACCAGCCCUGCCGGUCCUGAGGGUAAAAGCCCUUGUGGUCCUUCCCUGAAGGCCACGAGCUUUCUUCCCACCAGUUGCCACAGGGAAUCCAUUUGCUGGGAAUCCUGCAGCCCAGGGACUGGAAAAUAUCAGCAAAUGGCUCCUGUAUCUGCUCUCAACACAGAAGAACAAUGAUAGAAAAUGUCCCAAUCAGUCUCUUGUUACUAGAAUUUUCUAGCUGGCAGAAAAAAAAAAAAAAAAACAAAGACUGUCAAUGUGUAUCAGAUGCUCCUGGCACUUCUGGGCCAUGGAGUGUCAGGGGAAGAGCAUGAGCCAUUGCAUCCUAGCAGCAAAUCGGAUUUUUGUACUGUGAAACCAAAUUGUGCUCCCAAAGAUUUUGGUAUACAUUCAGAAAAUUUCCAUGAGUAAAAUUAGUUCUUGAGCUGGAGUAAGGAGUCUUAGAGCUUAGUUCUGUGAAAAUCCCAUAAUGUUUUGUACAACCCUCCCCUCCGCGCCCACUGCCUGGUGAAGCUGCCCUUACCGGGCAGACAACACACCAGUGUGAUGUGCAGCACCCACGGAGCAGAGGGCUGCAGGGCCCGCAGCUGGGUCCCCCCGCCAGCAAACCCCGACCGUCACAGAGAGCAAUGACAGCAGAAUCACAAACUCCGCGUGUGCGGGGAGGAAUCUGCCCGACCCCUUCCUGUGACAGCUUAAACUGAACCAGAAAUAAAGAUGGAUGAAAAGAG